GGAAGCCUACGGGGGGCAGCAGUGGGGGAUAUUGGACAAUGGGGGAAACCCUGAUCCAGCGAUGCCGCGUGAGGGAAGAAGGUUUUCGGAUUGUAAACCUCUGUGGAGGGGGACGAUAAUGACGGUACCCCUUUAGGAAGCCACGGCUAACUACGUGCCAGCAGCCGCGGUAAUACGUAGGUGGCGAGCGUUGUCCGGAUUUACUGGGUGUAAAGGGUGCGUAGGCGGGUAAGCAAGUCAGAAGUGAAAUCCAUGGGCUUAACCCAUGAACUGCUUUUGAAACUGUUUAUCUUGAGUGAAGUAGA
rnacentral:rRNA from 1 species